AGGAGUUGGUGAUGGACAGGGAAGCCUGGCGUGCUGCGUUCAUGGGGUCGCAAAGUGUCGGACACAACUGAGUGACUGAAUUGAACUGAAGAAUAAAAGCAUGAUAGAAAAAUACAGACUGUACACUUGACUUUAAGAAAAAUGGCAGUCAGGCAAGAGGGACCGAGUGAGGGCAGAAGAUAUUCAGAUGGCCUGUAAGACCCCAUGAGACCACAUCCCCCA
rnacentral:lncRNA from 1 species